rnacentral:rRNA from 1 species
AUUGAACGCUGGCGGCAGGCCUAACACAUGCAAGUCGAACGAGUGGCGGACGGGUGAGUAAUGUCUGGGAAACUGCCUGGUGGAGGGGGAUAACUACUGGACACGGUAGCUAAUACCGCAUACCAUCAGAUGUGCCCAGAUGGGAUUAGCUUGUUGGUGGGGUAACGGCUCACCAAGGCGACGAUCCCUAGCUGGUCUGAGAGGAUGACCAGCGGCACUGGAACUGAGACACUGUCCAGACGCCUACGGGAGGCAGCGGUGGGGAAUAUUGGACAAUGGGAGCAAGCCUGAUGCAGUCAUGCCGCGUGUAUGAAGAAGGCCUGAGGGUUGUAGAGUACUUUCAGCGGGGAGGCGUUAGCCGCAGAAGAAGCACCGGCUAACUCCGUGCCAGCGGCCGCGGUAAUAC